UACGGGGGGAGCAAGCGUUGUUCGGAUUUACUGGGCGUAAAGGGCGCGUAGGCGGCCAGCACAAGUCAGUUGUGAAAUCUCCGGGCUUAACUCGGAAAGGUCAACUGAUACUGUGCGGCUAGAGUGCAGAAGGGGCAACUGGAAUUCCUGGUGUAGCGGUGAAAUGCGCAGAUAUCAGGAGGAACACCGGUGGCGAAGGCGGGUCUCUGGGCCGAUACUGACGCUGAGGAGCGAAAGCGUGGGGAGCGAACAGG
rnacentral:rRNA from 1 species